AAGCCAAGCACUGAACACAAAGCGAACUAUUCUUUCGCCUUUUACUAAAGAAUACCGUGUGUUCUUUGCAAUAUGUGGCAUACGCCUACAAAAAUUUAAUUCAUAAUAAUUAUUAAUGUA